CUGCCCCACGGCUUCAGGGGUUGCUGGUAUCGGUCCCAGCCAGAACUCUGCGAUAUGUGUGAAUGGCGGCAUCAGCGAGCUGCUCUUUUAGCCUGAACACCUUUGACAACAGCGCCACAGAUCAUCACAGGUACACCGUUUUACUGGCGUCAAGUUGAGCUCCAGCAGAUGACAGCUCAGUGCCAGACUCAUAAUGUCAGUCAACAGCAGAUAUUACAGCCCGACAGUGAAGAAAAGCGACACAAAGUGCAGUAAUGGAGAGUAACGCGACUCACCUCAGUGAAGAUACACACGUGUGUCUGUUGUGUUUCUGCUGCACAUCUUUCCUCUUUCUGACGCUCCUCCACACACUCCUCCACAUCCAGGCGGAUUCACAGCUCCAGUAAAGCUCACACACAGGUCAGCAGUCCAACAUCAGUUCCAGCAAGUGUUCAGACAAGGAGAUCUGUGGCUCUGUGGUAAGAGCGCUGCCCCACGGCUUCAGGGGUUGCUGGUUCAAUGCCAGCCAGAACUCUGCGAUAUGUGUGAAUGGAGAGAUUUUCUGUCUUAGUGUAAGGCAGGGAGAUCGGCCAGCGAACUCAAUGCCAGUGUGAAGCCCUCCUGCUGCAGAACCACAAACUAUCUCCCCAGAUCUUUGACCUGCGCUCAACAGCUGAUGCUCCUCCACACACUCCUCCACAUCCAGGCGGAUUCACAGCUCCAGUAAAGCUCACACACAGGUCAGCAGUCCAACAUCAGUUCCAGCAGGUGCUCAGACAGGAGAUCUGUGGCUCUGUGGUAAGAGCGCUGCCCCACGGCUUCAGGGGUUGCUGGUAUCGGUCCCAGCCAGAACUCUGCGAUAUGUGUGAAUGGAGAGACUUUCUGUGUAGCAGCAGCUGCCAGUCUGGAUGUAGAUUACACCAGUAUUAACCAGUUUCCGAUUAGACGGCUGAGAGUACAAGAAACAGCCUUGAGGAUGAAACAGGUCGUUCCCUGUAGAGCGGCACGGCGGCAUCAGCGAGCUGCUCUUUUAGCCUGAACACCUUUGACAACAGCGCCACAGAUCAACACAGGUACACCGUUUUACUGGCGUCAAGUUGAGCUCCAGCAGAUGACAGCUCAGUAACAUAUUGUCAGUCAACAGCAGAUAUUACAGCCCGACAGUGAAGAAAAGCGACACAAAGUGCAGUAAUGGAGAGUAACGCGACUCACCUCAGUGAAGAUACACACGUGUGUCUGUUGUGUUUCUGCUGCACAUCUUUCCUCUUUCUGAUGCUCCUCCACACACUCCUCCACAUCCAGGCGGAUUCACAGCUCCAGUAAAGGUAUUUAUGAGCUCAUAUUUCCAGUAGAGAGUCCAGAAAGUGUGUUUGUUGUGCUGCUGCUCUGUCGCGUGUAUGUUGGGGGAGGGACUUUCUGUAGAAAGCAUGUGAUUGGCCAGAUUUGGUGUAGAGUCAUCAGUACAGUAUGAGGAGACUUUAGAGGUAAAUGAUGAUAUUUACAGUGUUUAAUUGUGUUUAGUGACAUUUAAAGCCCCACAAGCAGCUGUAAGAUAAUUUGAAACAUGUUCAUGUGUCUGAUUGAAGAAUAAGCAUGUUUGUCACAUUUUGAAUAGUGAAAUAUAAUAAUAUAUUUGCAUAUGAUGCAGUUUACAUUUAUUUAAAAUAAUUUACAUUUGAUAUGAAUUAUUUGUGUUUAUUUAGUUUUUUUUUUUCAAAAUGUGUAGAAUGUGGUUAUCCUCCCAUUGGAGAAAGAAAUGUGGGUUUAUGUGUGUGGUGAUGGUGAAGUGGUCAGAGCACACAGCAUGACAUCUGAAGCUGUCACAGCAUACCUGGGUUCAAAUCCAAGCACUGCUGCUGCUUUUUACUGCUGAGAUAAUCAGAAAAACAACAAAGUAAUUUUAUGUGUGUGUUCCCACUCUAAUUACCUUGCACUUGCAGCGGUGUGAGCCAGACAUCGAGGUGGGUUUCGUACCCAGGCCUCUGUCGUUACCUUGUCCACCGCAAUCUUGUGUUCAUCCACUAGCCCAUCAUGGCUUUCAGUCUGUCAGCUGCUGUUUGGGCCACACUGUUUGAUUGAAUUCCAGCAACCGAAAGUAAAGUAAGCAAUAGUGGGAUUUGAACCCAUGUCUCCUGUAUGUCAGGCGGAGUCUUAUCCACUGAACCACAGGGCUUGACAUCAGGCAGUCGUUGUUUUGUGAGCCAAAUUACAAAGAAAUAUUUGUCAAACCUUGUUCAUGAUGAAAACAGUGAUAAAGCCUCAUUCAGACACAUUGUUCACCAUCUAGACUCAGUGGCUCAAGUCAUAAACUAUUGAUCUUUAAUCAAGGAGACCCGGGUUCAAACCUCACUAUGGCUAAUGUCCAUCUUGACCUCAUUAUACUGACCAGGAGCCCCUGAUGAUGGAACCAAACCCAUGAUGGGUGAAUAAACACAAGUUCUCUGAGGAAGAGACUCAUAAAGACAAGAGUUCAAAUCUGACUUGUAUCUCGAUUCGGUAGAAAUGAGAUUCGAUCCUUCACACUUCUAAAUAGCAGGCGAACGCUCAUCCUUUGAGCCACAGGGUUUGACAUUUGCCAAAAGGUUUUUUGUGGCCCAAAUCACAAAGAAACAUGUGUCAAACCUUGGUCGGUAUGAGAAUAGUGAUAAAGCCCCGAUCUGACCUCUCCUUCGCUGUCCAGACUCAGUGGCUCAGGUCUUAAAGUAUUGAGCUUUAAUCUAGGAGACCCGGGUUCAAACCUCAUCGUGGCUAAUGUCCCACUGAGUUCAUUAUGUUCAUCAAGAUGAUGGACGCUGAUGUGAAACUAAUGAUGGUUGAUGAGUGAAUAAACACAAGUUCUCUGAGGAAGAGACUCAUAAAGACAAGGGUUCAGAUCUGACAUAUAUUCUUGUUUUAUUGAAUCAGCUCACACACAGGUCAGCAGUCCAACAUCAGUUCCAGCAGGUGCUCAGACAGGAGAUCUGUGGCUCUGUGGUAAGAGCACUGCCCCACGGCUUCAGGGGUUGCUGGUAUCGGUCCCAGCCAGAACUCUGCGAUAUGUGUGAAUGGAGAGACUUUCUGUGUAGCAGCAGCUGCCAGUCUGGAUGUAGAUUACACCAGUAUUAACCAGUUUCCGAUUAGACGGCUGAGAGUACAAGAAACAGCCUUGAGGAUGAAACAGGUCGUUCCCUGUAGAGCGGCACGGCGGCAUCAGCGAGCUGCUCUUUUAGCCUGAACACCUUUGACAACAGCGCCACAGAUCAACACAGGUACACCGUUUUACUGGCGUCAAGUUGAGCUCCAGCAGAUGACAGCUCAGUGACAGACUCAUAAUGUCAGUCAACAGCAGAUAUUACAGCCCGACAGCGAAGAAAAGCGACACAAAGUGCAGUAAUGGAGAGUAACGCGACUCACCUCAGUGAAGAUACACACGUGUGUCUGUUGUGUUUCUGCUGCACAUCUUUCCUCUUUCUGAUGCUCCUCCACACACUCCUCCACAUCCAGGCGGAUUCACAGCUCCAGUAAAGCUCACACACAGGUCAGCAGUCCAACAUCAGUUCCAGCAGGUGCUCAGACAGGAGAUCUGUGGCUCUGUGGUAAGAGCGCUGCCCCACGGCUUCAGGGGUUGCUGGUAUCGGUCCCAGCCAGAACUCUGCGAUAUGUGUGAAUGGAGAGACUUUCUGUGUAGCAGCAGCUGCCAGUCUGGAUGUAGAUUACACCAGUAUUCAACCAGUUUCCGAUUAGACGGCUGAGAGUACAAGAAACAGCCUUGAGGAUGAAACAGGUCGUUCCCUGUAGAGCGGCACGGCGGCAUCAGCGAGCUGCUCUUUUAGCCUGAACACCUUUGACAACAGCGCCACAGAUCAACACAGGUACACCGUUUUACUGGCGUCAAGUUGAGCUCCAGCAGAUGACAGCUCAGUGCCAGACUCAUAAUGUCAGUCAACAGCAGAUAUUACAGCCCGACAGCGAAGAAAAGCGACACAGAGAGCAGAAAUGGAGAGUAACGCGACUCACCUCAGUGAAGAUACACACGUGUGUCUGUUGUGUUUCUGCUGCACAUCUUUCCUCUUUCUGACGCUCCUCCACACACUCCUCCACAUCCAGGCGGAUUCACAGCUCCAGUAAAGGUAUUUAUGAGCUCAUAUUUCCAGUAGAGAGUCCAGAAAGUGUGUUUGUUGUGCUGCUGCUCUGUCGCGUGUAUGUUGGGGGAGGGACUUUCUGUAGAAAGCAUCUGAUUGGCCAGAUUUGGUGUAGAGUCCUCAAUACAGUAUGAGGAGACUUUAGAGGUAAAUGAUGAUAUUUACAGUGUUUAAUUGUGUUUAGUGACAUUUAAAGCCCCACAAGCAGCUGUAAGAUCAUUUAAAAUAUGGUUGAUGUGUUUGACUGAAGAAUAAGCAGGUUUUUUACAUUUUGAACAAUGAAAUAUAAUAAUAUAUCAGCAUAUGAUGUAGUUUGAAUGUAUUUUGAAUCAUUUACAUUUGAUAUUAAUUAUUUGUGUUUAUUUAGAUUUUUUUUUCAAAAUGUGUAAAUGUGGUCAUCCUUACACUGGAGAAAGAAGUGUGUGUUUGUGUGUGUGCUGAUGGUGUAGUGGUCAGAGCACACAGCCUGAGAUGUGAAGUUCUCACAGUAUACCUGGGUUCAAAUCUGAGUCCUGUUACUGCUCUUUACUGCUGAUCUAAAUACAAAAAA